GCCGCCCACCUCUUCCACCUCCGCCUCCAGCGACGACUCCUAGUUUUUUUAAUGCUUGGCUCUCAGUAAGAAUUUCUGUCUUGAUGGAUGUAUCAUAAUUUGCAGGAUGAUGAUGAUACACUCCGGAGAUCUCCUGGUACUCCGGUGUUCACUGCACCAGAGUGCUGUCAAGGUCUAACCUAUCACGGUAGAGCUGCUGAUACAUGGGCUGUUGGUGUUACUCUGUACUGUAUGAUUUUGGGUCAAUACCCAUUUAUAGGUGAAACUUUGCAUGAAACUUAUGACAAGAUAGUGAAGGAUCCAGUGGAAAUUCCUGAUGGCAUGAAUCCCCAGCUGGUUGAUUUGCUGGAAAGACUUCUCUGCAAAGAGCGUAGGGCCGGCAGAUCCGGCCGCUACGGGCAACGGUUGCUGGCGGAGCACGUGGCGGCUGAGGAGGGCGCUGCGGGCGGUGGAGCACAGGGCGGCGGCGGUUGGGUUCGCGGUGUCGAUGUACGCAGUGGCCGUCGCCAGACCUCACGUCCACAUGAAUCGGAGCUCGGGGUGGUGCAGAUCUAGACGACGGAGACCGACGGAGCUGGGCAGCAUGAGGUUAUAUAGCAUUGGAAGUUUGGAACCACGCUUUCGGACAAUGUUUGUUCCAAACCUCUUAUGGAGUCAUUCAGCAGCAAGGAGUUCAAUCACCCAUUUCAGAAUGAAAUUAUCGCUGAAGAAGGCAAAGCUGGUGUUCUCUUCUGUUGUCUUUUAUACAGUAGAAAUGUGUCCUUUGACUGAAAUUAAUGUUCAGUUACAUCAUUAAAUUUCCAAUCUGUCAGUAUUUGCUUAUUCCAUUGUACCAUCGCUCUAAUACAAUAAUACUAUCAGCUUUUGUUCA